CGCCCUAUAUGCCCUAACUACCACUUUUAGUAAAGCCCAUUCCAUCUCCCUAUGGCAUGUGAGGUUAGGCUUAGAGCCAAAUCUUGGUUUUGACCGUAGGGUCACCGCCCUAUAUGCCCUAACUACCACGCUUAGUAAAACCCAUUCCAUCUCCCUAUAGCAUGUGUAUAUGCACUUCCACAAACAUGUUUUUUAUACAUGAUAGAGAUAUCUACAUUUCUACACCAAUCAAUUUUUACAAAUUCACAACAUUAAUUUAAUUCGUUUUUUUUGGGUAAGUAACACUCAUACAACUCGUUACUUAUCAAAAAAAAAAAGAUAUCUAUUUCAUGUUUACGUAUAUAAUGGCACAGGCAAACACCAUUCAUCAUAAGUGAUAGAAAGUUAGAUCUUGUUAAAUUCCCUCAUUAACUUGUUAGACAUUAUGGGCAAUUGAUGUAACUGCAAGCACACAUCAAAUACAAGGCUCCUAAUGUGAACAAAUAACACCAUCACCACUAUUUACGAGGGAGAGAUGAAAUCUGCUAGCACAAUGCUCCUAUCCUCUCUCUCCAGGUCAGUGACUCAGUGACAUACAAACAUUAGCCACAAUAGACUGUUAAAACUUGAAAUUUGCUAGUUCAAAUAACGAUAAAUACCACAAUGAUUCCAACAAUCAGAGCAUGAAAUAGCACAGGGGCUUUCUUAGUAAAUAGAAAGAAGUACCAUGCAUGUGAAGUUGCAAAAUGCAAGCACUCCUUUUCACUCCUCUCUCUCUUUCUCCAUAAGGGCUAGAGAGUGAGAAACUACAGCUCUAACAUGAAGUGAUGAAGAGAAGGCAAACGAGUAUAGAGGUAAGACAGGAAGACCUUGAGAAGCUCAAAUUUGAAGUAACCCUUCCACUCUCCUCUAUCACCUUAACUCCACUAAAGACCCCUCCUCCAAAGCCUCAAUGCCUGAUGUCUAAACCCUAAAGGACAAAGUUUUACAUCAUCCUCAGUCCCUUGGCCAAAAUCUUGAGAACCAAAAAGCCUUAAAAACCCUGGAAAUGGAGGUUAGUCUAACCCUUGAACCAAAAACCCCCCCAAAAGCUAAAAAGGGCUACAACUUACUUGAGCCAAAACUUAGAAACCCAAAAAACAAAAAAGUUCCCUGAAUUGGAGCUGGGACAAAACUUGAACCAAAAUUGAAAUCCUCAAAAAGAAAACUACAAAGAGAAAAAAAAAUUCAAGAUAGAGUAAGAGAGAUAUAGACCACACUGAAAUUUGAGAGAGGGAGAGAGACCAACAUCAAAUUCAAGAAAGAGGAAGAGAGAUAUCGAUCAACACCAAAUUCAACACAGAGGGAGACUAACAUCAAAUUUGAGAAAGAGAAAGAGAGAGCAACAUCAAAACAAGAGGGAGGCCCUCGUUCUAGCAGCUUCCCCAACCUGAAUACUACAAACUUCAACAUACUCGAGUAUUUGCACAUUCCCAUUCUCCAUCAACACCCCUUCCAACAUCUACCCACCAGCUUUUAAGCCAUCUCGCUCUACAUCUAUAGCUCGUCUCAGACCCAAACCUUCUCUAGCCAACAGUGUUUCGAGACUCGGCAAGGUCUACUCGUACUCAGUCGAGUAACUCAGUCUCGCCCUAUGGGCGAGACGAAUUUGCCCCGAAUACAUUGUACACACAUUUUUAAUGGUUAUAUAUAAUAAUGUUCAAGCUUUAAUGAUGAACACUCAAGUGGC
rnacentral:lncRNA from 1 species